UAUGUGAUCGUCUCUCGCAUAUCAAUAAGCGGAGGAAAAGAAACUAACAAGGAUUCCCCUAGUAACGGCGAGUGAAGCGGGAAGAGCUCAAAUUUGAAAUCUUAAAGGGUUUCCCUUUACGAAUUGUAGUUUAAAGAAGUGUUUUCUGUUGAGGUUUUGGUAAAAGUUCUUUGGAAUAGGACAUCAUAGGGGGUGAGAAUCCCGUAUUUGACCUUUACUUUCAACUUUGUGAUACACUUUCAAAGAGUCGGAUUGUUUGGGAAUGCAGUCCAAAAUGGGUGGUAAAUUUCAUCUAAAGCUAAAUAUUGGCGAGAGACCGAUAGCGAACAAGUACCGUGAGGGAAAGAUGAAAAGAACUUUGAAAAGAGAGUUAAACAGUACGUGAAAUUGUCAAAAGGGAAGCGUUUGACACCAGUGUUGUUUUUCUGAAAAUCAAUUAAAGAACUGUUUAUGCUAAGCUGUUUAGACUUUAUCAGCUAUACUGUUUAGUUUUGAGCUUUUCUUUAAUGCACUUUUCAGUUAACAAGUCAACAUCAAUUUCUUUUGCUGUAAAAAAGCUUGAGGAAGGUGGCUUGAGAUUCGUCUUAAGUGUUUAUAGCCUCUUGCCUAUGCAGUCGGAGAGAUUGAGGUCUGCAGCGUAGAUCCUUCGGGGCUAAAUGCAUUUGUGCUAAGUUAUAGCAUUUUAUAGACAACUUGUUGACUAUGAUUUGUCUUGUAGCUUACUCGCUUAUGUUAUUUUACCUACGCUUAGGAUGUUGAGCGCAUGUCUCUCUCU
rnacentral:rRNA from 1 species